UACGGAGGGUGCAAACGUUGCUCGGAAUUAUUGGGCGUAAAGCGCACGUAGGUGGUCUGUUUAGUCGGGUGUGAAAGCCCUGGGCUCAACCCAGGAAGUGCACUCGAUACUGGCAGGCUUGAGUAUGGAAGAGGGUCGCGGAAUUCCCAGUGUAGAGGUGAAAUUCGUAGAUAUUGGGAAGAACACCGGUGGCGAAGGCGGCGACCUGGUCCUUGACUGACGCUGAGGCGCGAAAGCGUGGGGAGCAAACAGG
rnacentral:rRNA from 1 species